CGGCGGACGGGUGAGUAAUGCCUAGGAAAUUGCCCUGAUGUGGGGGAUAACCAUUGGAAACGAUGGCUAAUACCGCAUGAUGCCUACGGGCCAAAGAGGGGGACCUUCGGGCCUCUCGCGUCAGGAUAUGCCUAGGUGGGAUUAGCUAGUUGGUGAGGUAAGGGCUCACCAAGGCGACGAUCCCUAGCUGGUCUGAGAGGAUGAUCAGCCACACUGGAACUGAGACACGGUCCAGACUCCUACGGGAGGCAGCAGUGGGGAAUAUUGCACAAUGGGCGCAAGCCUGAUGCAGCCAUGCCGCGUGUGUGAAGAAGGCCUUCGGGUUGUAAAGCACUUUCAGUCGUGAGGAAGGUAGUGUAGUUAAUAGCUGCAUUAUUUGACGUUAGCGACAGAAGAAGCACCGGCUAACUCCGUGCCAGCAGCCGCGGUAAUACGGAGGGUGCGAGCGUUAAUCGGAAUUACUGGGCGUAAAGCGCAUGCAGGUGGUUUGUUAAGUCAGAUGUGAAAGCCCGGGGCUCAACCUCGGAAUUGCAUUUGAAACUGGCAGACUAGAGUACUGU
rnacentral:rRNA from 1 species